AUGAAAAAAAGCCUCAUGAUGAAAAUAUAUUUUUUUCUGCCAUUUAAAAUAUCGACUAGAAUAAAACUAAGAGAGUUUAAAGAAUAUUUCCCUUUUGUUGGUAAUAUAAUAGUUCGUUUCAAAACAUCUCUAACUGAUUUGGUUGAUAUUAUUAACGAAGGUUUAAUGACUGGUCUCCCUUUAUUAAAUAUUAAUGAAAAUACUAAUGUUAUUAAACCAAUAGAAAAAUAUAUUAUUACGAAUGAAAAUGAUAUAAAAAAUAUAUUAAAGCAAGAUAAUUUAAGUUAUGUUUGGGUAGAUGUGAAUAAUGAUGAUUCAUAUGUACCACUUUAUGAGGGACAUAUUGUUGUAAAGGUACUAUUUAUAAAUAAUGAAAAUUAUAGUAGCUAUAAUGACAUUUAUUUUAAGGAUGCAAAUCAAUACGAAUAUGCAACUGAGUAUUAUAAAAUAAAUGAAAAAAACUUAUGUUCUUAUAUUUUAUUAAAUGAAGAAAACAAUAAAGAAGAAGAUACUAAUGUUAAUAGUAAUAAUAGUAGUUCUGAUGUGAUUGUAGAUCACCAUGCUAACACAGAUUUCGAUCAAAUUAAUUAUAAGGAUUUAUUUUUUAAAAAAAAAGGUUCAACCAAUAAUACAGGGAUUAAUAAGGAUUCCACGUCAGAUUAUAAUAUUAAAAAUUUUAAAAACAAAACAGACAGUAUUAGCAUGAGUAACAUUAAAGACAUUGGAUACGUAUCAAAUAAAACAAGAAAACAUAUUAUAAAUAAAUUUGGAAAGAUAGCUUAUAACAAACAUAAUAACUGUGUUGAUGUGUUCGAAAAAGAAAAACUUCUUAUAGUACAUAAUAAUAGUGGUAAUAUUAAUGAUACAAAAGAAGAAGAUAUUUUCUUUCAAAAUAAUUAUAAAAAUAAUGAUUAUGAUAAUAAUACAAAUAAUAUGUAUUUUCAAUAUGAAAAUAAUCAUUAUGAACAAAACAAAAAUAAAGGGAUAAAUAUAAAUAAAGUAAAUGAAAAUAUAAAACAUAAUUUAGAAAAAAAAGAUUCUAACAAUUUGAAAAAUGUAAGUUCACACUACAGUGAUAAGAAUAAUGAUAAUAUUAGAACUGGUAAUGGCAAUGAUAAGGAUAAUAAAAAUAACAUAACCAGUAGACAUAGCAACAAUAAAGACGACUAUGUAUCAGAUAACUACAGACAACAGUCAAAAAUCAGAACAACCGCUAUAAAUAACAAUGAACAAAUACAAGAAGCUAUUAAAAAAAAAGCAAAUGAUCGGUUAAAUUUGUUAAAUGAACAUAGAAAUCAAGAGGAAAUAAAACAGAAGGAGAAAUUAGCAAUAUCAGAUAAAAUAAAAAAACAAAUUGAUAAAUGGUCUAAAAAUUCAGAUAACACAUAUAAGAAUAUAAAAGUAAUGCUAAGUACAUUGGAUGAUAUAUUGUGGCCAAAUUCAGAGUGGAAAACUGUACCCAUGUCAGAUUUAAUAUCAAACAAAGCUAUUGUUAAACGAACAUACAAAAAUGCCAUUCUAUUAUGUCACCCGGAUAAAAAUAGAGACACAUCAGUUGAGAUCAUGCUAAGAGCAGAACUGAUUUUCCAUGCACUAAACAAUGCAUACAAAGAAAGCAAAGGAAUUUAGCGUUAUAUAACUGAAAAAGAGCUUUUUAAAAUUUUGUCAUACAAAUAUUUGCUUAGUGUCACAAACUAGCCUUAUUCUGUUAUGUAUAUUUAAUAAUUUUAAUUUUUUUUUUUUUUUGUUAUCUUAUUACUUUUUUUUUUUUUUUUUUUUUUUUUCCUUAUAUUAUUUAUUAUGGUUCACCGUAAAAAAUCUUCAACAAAAAUGUAAUAUAUAUAUAUAUAUAAGUUUGUGUACCGUUCAUUUGUGCAUCAUUAUUUUUUAUAAUUUAAUUAUGGGUUUUGUAAAUUGUAAUGUGUCACAUAUGAUAAUAUGAAAAGUCAUACUACAAAAUUUGUCCUAUAUUUAUGAUAGAUGAACUUUAAAUGAACCCUAGCUGAGCCCUAACUAAACCGUAACUAAACUCUAGCUGAGCCCUAACUAAACCGUAACUUAACCCUAGCUAAGACCUAACUAAACCCUAGCUAAACCAUAACUGAACCCUAGCUAAACCAUAACUGAACNNNNNNNNNNUAUAAUUUGUUUUUCUCUAUUAUUUCUCAUCAGUUUUAAUAGCUGUAAUUUACACUUAAUCGUGCUUGUGUAUGUGCUUGCAUAAACGUGAUCGAACGUAUCUAACUUUCGGGUCAACCCUUUACCCCCCAAUUUUCAGCUAUAUUUACAGACACUUCACAUUUUACCUUUUUCAAAAAAAAAAGAGGCACACUUUUCCAUUGUUUCGACCAAAAUUUUCUGUGCUUCGUCUUGAUACUUUUUGUUAACUUCAAUAAUAAUUUCAUCGUGCACACAUAAAACAAUUUUGCCAUUUAUAUGUUUUAAAUUUGUAUAAAGUUCCACUAAAGACAGUUUUAGUAUAUCAGCACAUGUCCCCUGGACUGGAUAAUUCAAUGACUUGGUGAAAGAAAAAUAAGGAAAAACUACUUUUCUAUUAGAUAAAGUGGCAUACUCUAAGGACCUGUUUUGUUUUAUUUGGUUAUGCCAUUUAUAUAUGCCUUUAUAAUGUUCAAAAAAAGAAUUAUAAAAAUACAAGCAUUGUUCUAGGCUCAUGUUUAAGUUAUAAUAAUUAUUUGCAUAAUUUUUUAAAUUAAUAUAAUUCAUGCCGUAAAUGAGACCAAAAUUUAUAGCUUUAGCAAUAUGUCUAUCCUCUUGGUUGAUUUGGUCUAUUUUUUUUUUUAACAUAAUACUAGCAGUUAAUGUAUGUAAAUCUAUAUUAUUAUUAUACGCUUUUAACAUAAUUUCAUCGUUUGUAAUUUCAGCAGCUAUUUUUAAUUCGAUUUGCUUAAAAUCAGCUAUAAUAAAUAUAUUAUUUUCACUCGGAAUGAAAAUCUC
ensembl:lncRNA